rnacentral:rRNA from 1 species
GACGAACGCUGGCGGCGUGCCUAACACAUGCAAGUCGAGCGAUGAAGUUUCCUUCGGGAAAUGGAUUAGCGGCGGACGGGUGAGUAACACGUGGGUAACCUGCCUCAUAGUGGGGAAUAGCCUUUCGAAAGGAAGAUUAAUACCGCAUAAGAUUGUAGUUUCGCAUGAAACAGCAACUAAAGGAGUAAUUCGCUAUGAGAUGGACCCGCGGCGCAUUAGCUAGUUGGUGAGGUAACGGCUCACCAAGGCCACGAUGCGUAGCCGACCUGAGAGGGUGAUCGGCCACAUUGGGACUGAGACACGGCCCAG